ACUCUGGCGGCAGGCUUAMMCAUGCAAGUCGAACGGUAACAGGGAUUWGCUUGCUAAUCUGCUGACGWGUGGCGGACGGGUGAGUAAUGCUUGGGAAUCUGGCUUAUGGAGGGGGAUAACUACGGGAAACUGUAGCUAAUACCGCGUAAGAUCUUCGGAUUAAAGGGUGGGACUUUCGGGCCACCUGCCAUAAGAUGAGCCCAAGUGGGAUUAGGUAGUUGGUUAGGUAAAGGCUGACCAAGCCGACGAUCUCUAGCUGGUCUGAGAGGAUGACCAGCCACACUGGAACUGAGACACGGUCCAGACUCCUACGGGAGGCAGCAGUGGGGAAUAUUGCACAAUGGGGGRAACCCUGAUGCAGCCAUGCCGCGUGAAUGAAGAAGGCCUUCGGGUUGUAAAGUUCUUUCGGUGACGAGGAAGGUUGGUAGGUUAAUAGCCUAUCAAAUUGACGUUAAUCACAGAAGAAGCACCGGCUAACUCCGUGCCAGCAGCCGGGUAA
rnacentral:rRNA from 1 species